UUCUGGGAGGAUUGACAAAUUGAGAGCUCUUUCUUGAUUCGGUGGAUGGUGGUGCAUCUUAGUUCUUAGUUGUCGGAGUGAUUUGUCUGGUUAAUUUCGAUAACGAGCGAAACUCUAGCCUAUUGAUUAGGUGCGUGGUUCUUUGCACCUUGCACCCUUCUUAGAGGAACAAGCGGCUCCUAGCCGCACGGAAGAGAGCAAUAACAAGUCGGUGAUACCCUUAAAU
rnacentral:rRNA from 1 species